UGCGAAUACCCUUUGAUCCGUAGAUCUCCGAAUGGGGAAACCCACCUAAGGUACUUGGAAAAUCAGAGCAGCAGGGCAACUGACGCGACAAUCCCAAAAGGAUUGAGCGUGGGGCGACGAUCUCUUUGGGAUCGCGCUGCUUUUGCUGCUGUGGUUUCCAAGUAUCGAUGAUAGGUAACUUAUCCUGAAUACAUAGGGAUAAAGUGGCGAACGCGGGGAACUGAAACAUCUAAGUACCCGUAGGAAA
rnacentral:rRNA from 1 species